CGGGAGGAUAGGUUGUUCAGUUUACUACUGGAGACCUGACUGUGACUGAGCGUCGGGAAAACAUUUUUAAGGGAGGAAGGAAUUGCUGCGGCAGCAUCUCCGAGUCUCUCUCCUUUUUCUCCUCUGAGUUACAUAGGAUAACUUGGCCAGAACUUACUGAUGACUGCACGGCCAGCGGAGCCGGGAAUGGGAAAUGCAGGAAGGCGCUCUUUGGCAGGAGCAGAAGAGGAGGCAUUUCAAAGAUCCUGCAGGUGACCGAGGUGGUGAUCUGCUGCUAGAAUAAAUAAAUUUCAGGAAGUGCCAAGGCUGCUCAGCCAUUUACUGUGAUAUCACUUCUACAUAAGGAACUUACCAACUUUCUCCAAUUAUCUCCUCUAUUACGGUAAGUAUUUAAGAUGCGUGAUUUUCUGUGUCAGGAGUUUUUCUGUGUCAGGAGUUCUAGAAAGUAAGAAUGAGGUGAGUUCUGGAAGGUCCAACUCCAGUCCUAAAUUUUGCUGGCAGAACUAGAAUUUUAGUAUAAGCACGUUAAACAUAUGUAAGUUUUGGUAAGGCUGUGGAUUAAUUGCAGUUGUCAGUAUCUGCAGCUUGUAUUUUUCUCAUCUCUAUGAAGUGGACCACAUUUGCAGAGUGUGUAAGAUUUUUCUACUUGUCUUAUUACC
rnacentral:lncRNA from 1 species